GUGUCAGCCGCCGCGGUAAUACGUAGGGUGCAAGCGUUAAUCGGAAUUACUGGGCGUAAAGCGUGCGCAGGCGGUUCGGAAAGAAAGGUGUGAAAUCCCAGGGCUUAACCUUGGAACUGCACUUUUAACUACCGGGCUAGAGUAUGUCAGAGGGGGGUAGAAUUCCACGUGUAGCAGUGAAAUGCGUAGAGAUGUGGAGGAAUACCGAUGGCGAAGGCAGCCCCCUGGGAUAAUACUGACGCUCAUGCACGAAAGCGUGGGGAGCAAACAGGAUUAGAUACCCUGGUAGUCCACGCCCUAAACGAUGUCAACUAGCUGUUGGGGCCUACGGGCCUUAGUAGCGCAGCUAACGCGUGAAGUUGACCGCCUGGGGAGUACGGUCGCAAGAUUAAAACUCAAAGGAAUUGACGG
rnacentral:rRNA from 1 species